AAUUUUUGAAUCUGUAUUUCUGUUGGACUGUAUUUGGUAUCAGAUAUAUCUUUCAUUUGGUUACUUCAGCUCCAACUACAACUACUCGUCAGACUACAACUACUCCUCUGACUACUACUACUCCUCUGACUACAACAACUCAUCUACCUACAACUACUCAGUUGGCUACAACUGCUCUUGCUGCUACAACUGCUCUUCCUGCUAUAACUACUCAUCUGGCUACAGCAACUUGUCCAACUACAAUAGCCACAACAGCUCUCCAAAUGACCACUUCAGCCAUGUCUAACCUAACAACUAUAAUGACACACCAAUCGACUACAGUCACUCUCGAAUCAACAACAGCAGUUCUUCCUCGGAAAUCAACUUCUAAUCAAGCGAUAACCCCGGCUCUGACCACUUUCCCAUUGACAGAAGUUGCUCCUGUGACUACAGACACCACAAGUUUUCCGAAAAAUGAUUCUGAACUCGAAGAGAUAAGAGCUUCCAGAGAUCCUGAACUACUGAUAAUUAUAGUCCCACUGGUGGGUUUUGUGAUCCUCCUGAUGCUGCUGGCUUUUAUUUUGAGAGGUAAAAUCAUAAGAAAGAAUCAUUCCAUUACACACAAAAGGUCAAACAAUGCUGGAGAAGAUAGCAAUGCUCUUAGCACCCUGCCUAGUACGAUAGAAGAAGAUGAAGAAGGCUUUUUUAACCUCUGAGAACUUUCAUUUGGAGAAGCACCCAGGUUUGUCCAUCUCGGAACUCCAAAGGAGCUGAACCAGGGACAUCAUUAGGAAAAGCUUCACCAGGCAUUACACACCAUCGUGGUAAAUCUGAUUGCUUGGACCUCGUAGGCUCAGAAGAUGUGGGUGUGGGCCAUACUGCCUUGGAUUUCACUGUUUCAUGAGUCUGCUCCAUGCUGCCAUCACAGCUGUCCUAUUUUCUCUCUGCUGAACAUCUAUUGCCAGCAUCAUAUCCCAUGAACCAUCCUGCCUUCCUUCCUUUUGUUUGUAUUAUUGGCUGGAAUGUCUUGUUCCACUUCCUUAGAAGAAUUCUUAAAAAGGAGAUACCAGUCCUUGACCCCCAAGCUUGGCUGGCUAUCAACUUCUUCAUUUGUAAAAUGACAGGUUCGACAAGAUUUCCUUUCAACUCUGCAGUGUUCUGAGCCUGAGAUCCUGGUCAUUUAGUGUCAGCAUUUCUGUUUGCUUAUUUGCGUGAUGGAAACAUUUUGAAUUACCAGUAACUUUUCUCCCUGUAAACUGGUCUGCCUCCUCUUUUCUCAUGGAGCAUAUUUUUUUUUUAACAGGAUUUCUUUCUUUUUUCCUUCUGGCUCAAAAUUUGAUAAUCCUGUGAUCUUCUAUAUCGGUGGCAUGCUUCUUUCUAGUUGUAUAGCUUAGAGCAAGUCUUCAUUUCUCUGGACCUCAAUUUCCUAUCUAUAAAAUGAAAGGGAUAGAGUAGAUAGUCUCCAAGUUCCCUUAACAUUUUAUGAUUCCUGUUUGGAAAUUGUCCUUAAACCCUGAAGCAUACUCUUGUGUAAUUUUACUGGUGGAAAUCCUUUUUCCUUUAAGGGCAAAUUUAAUUUUUGGAAAAAGUUCAAAUUCUAAGCUAAAUAUGGUGAAUGAGGUGGAUGAUCAAGCUGGGGAAUACCAUUUUUGUUAUAAUGUGAGGUAGGGGCAUACAAUAAAGAGCUUGAUUUUGUGGUGUGAUCUGUAAGC
rnacentral:lncRNA from 1 species